UGAACCUGCGGAAGGAUCAUUAUCGAGUUUUGAAAAGGGUUGUAGCUGGCCUUCGGCAACAAGUCGGAGGCAUGUGCACGCCUGGCUCAUCCACUCUCAAACCCCUGUGCACCUUUUGUAGGCUUCGGCAGAGAGGACUGACUUCGGUCGGUUCAGGAAGCCUUGUGCCUAUGUCACACAUACAAACGCUUCAGUUUAGAAUGUAACGAAUCGUGCGCCUCGGUGCAACGAAAUAAAUACAACUUUCAGCAACGGAUCUCUUGGCUCUCGCAUCGAUGAAGAACGCAGCGAAAUGCGAUAAGUAAUGUGAAUUGCAGAAUUCAGUGAAUCAUCGAAUCUUUGAACGCACCUUGCGCUCCUUGGUAUUCCGAGGAGCAUGCCUGUUUGAGUGUCAUGAAAUUCUCAACCUUUGAAGCUUUUUUUUGAGCUCGCAAAGGCUUGGACUUGGAGGUCGUGUCGGCUCGUAACAAAGUCGACUCCUCUGAAAUGCAUUAGUGUGAAACCUUCGCAGGAUCGCCUUCGGUGUGAUAAUUGUCUACGCCGUCGGUCGUGAAAGUCGAAACAUAC
rnacentral:rRNA from 1 species